UUUAGGCUUAGGCUUAGGCUUAGGCUUAGGCUUAGGCUAAGGCUUAGACUUAGGCUUAGGUUUGGGCUUAGGCGUGUGCUUAGGUUUAGGCUUGUGCUUAGGUUUGGGCUUAGGUUUGGGAUUAUGUUCAGGCUAUUUAGG
ensembl:ncRNA W02B8.10 ncRNA